rnacentral:rRNA from 1 species
UACAUAGGUCCCAAGCGUUGUUCGGAUUCACUGGGCGUAAAGGGUGCGUAGGUGGCGAGGUAAGUCGGAUGUGAAAGCUCGGAGCUCAACUCCGAAAUGGCAUUGGAAACUACCUUGCUCGAGGGUUGGAGGGGGGACUGGAAUACUUGGUGUAGCAGUGAAAUGCGUAGAUAUCAAGUGGAACACCAGUGGCGAAGGCGAGUCCCUGGACAACUCCUGACACUGAGGCACGAAAGCGAGGGGAGCAAACAGG